rnacentral:rRNA from 1 species
UAGAGUGCGAUCCUGGGGCAAGAUGAACGCUACCUGCAGGAUUAACACCUGCAAGUCGAGGGGCAUCAUGAACUGAGCUUGCUAAGUUUGAUGGCGACCGGCGCACGGGUGAGUAACACGUAUCCAACCUGCCGAUGACUCGGGGAUAGCCUUUCGAAAGAAAGAUUAAUACCCGAUGGCAUAGUUCUUCCGCAUGGUAGAACUAUUAAAGAAUUUCGGUCAUCGAUGGGGAUGCGUUCCAUUAGGUUGUUGGCGGGGUAACGGCCCACCAAGCCUUCGAUGGAUAGGGGUUCUGAGAGGAAGGUCCCCCACAUUGGAACUGAGACACGGUCCAAACUCCUACGGGAGGCAGCAGUGAGGAAUAUUGGUCAAUGGACGAGAGUCUGAACCAGCCAAGUAGCGUGAAGGAUGACUGCCCUAUGGGUUGUAAACUUCUUUUAUACGGGAAUAAAGUGAGGCACGCGUGCCUUUUUGUAUGUACCGUAUGAAUAAGGAUCGGCUAACUCCGUGCCAGCAGCCGCGGUAAUACGGAGGAUCCGAGCGUUAUCCGGAUUUAUUGGGUUUAAAGGGAGCGUAGGCGGACGCUUAAGUCAGUUGUGAAAGUUUGCGGCUCAACCGUGAAAUUGCAGUUGAUACUGGGUGUCUUGAGUACAGUAGAGGCAGGCGGAAUUCGUGGUGUAGCGGCGAAAUGCUUAGAUAUCACGAAGAACUCCGAUUGCGAAGGCAGCCUGCUGGACUGUAACUGACGCUGAUGCUCGAAAGUGUGGGUAUCAAACAGGAUUAGAUACCCUGUUAGUCCACACAGUCAACGAAGAAUACUCGCUGUCUGCGAUAUACAAUAAGCGGCCAGCCGAAAGCGUUAA